CAAAUGACUCUCGGCAAUGGAUAUCUCGGCUCUUGCAUCGAUGAAGAACGUAGUGAAAUGCGAUACUUGGUGUGAAUUGCAGAAUCUCGUGAACCAUUGAGUCUUUGAACGCAAGUUGUGCCCGAGGCCUUGUGGUCGAGGGCACGCCUGCUUGGGUGUCAUGA
rnacentral:rRNA from 5 species